GGCAGGAUGUAUAUAACCACCUCAGCUGUUGAUCUCUUUGGUUUGCUGGUUUGGGACUCACACCUGUGCUUUGUUGUAAGGAAGCUUAUUUCUCCAAGACUGAAGCAGAAAAGGGUCACACAACACCAACCCUGCAGAAACACUGGUCUCAGUGCCCUCCAUAAGGCUGUAGCCACCGCAUCCGAGCAGAUCCUGAUGCCUCCUCUCUCAGCACAUCGGCACAGAGGUUCUCUGGGCUACCAGGUCCCUGUUGGCUGUCACUGGAUGAAGCCAUGGAUGUGCAGUGUUAUCUGACAGAAGUCCACUUCUUUCCCCAGCUGAGAUAGAAGAGGUUAGGAGAAGACUUCUCUCGUGCAGAAGGCAUGCAGCUACACGUAGUUCUAAACAAAAAUUAGUCGGCUUCAGUAUUGGCUUAGCACUGGUGAAUCACCAACUGCAGCAUGUACCAUCAGAUGCAUGAUUCCUGGCACGCACACAUUAAAACUACCAUUCUGCCUUCCUCUUUUCAGUAACUCUUUCCAUUCAAAGCAUUAGCUGAUCACACUAAAGGACAUAACCAUCACCACUGUAACUAUGCAUUUCACCCGACAGAAGAGACAGUCCAGAAGAAAAGAAAAGAAAAUCUUGCUCUAGGAUUGGAAAUACCUUUAAAAAACAAAAACAACCCCCUUAAGCUCUUCCUGAAGUUAAUUGGCAGCAAUAUUUUUUCCUCUUUUUUUCCUUUUUCUUCAUUCCUGUUCUUUACUUUUCCCUGCAAGUCACCUAAAUCCUGGCCCUUGCUCGUGAUGGCUAUAUAGUAUAUGUGUCAAUCAGCUACACUGAGAUACAUUUAGUUGCAAGUAAUUAUGUUUGGCCAGAUGAAAUUGUACCGUUAAUCUUAAUUAUGACCAGAUCUGUUUCAAUAUAGCCUUUCAACCUUUGAAUUGCCCAAUAUGCUCUCACUCACAUUUUGACUUUGUCUCAUUAAUUGACUCGGUAAGUAAUCACAGACAACUAUCUGUAAUGUAACUCUAAUAAGGGAGAUACUAACUAAGCUCUAAGACUACAGGCUGUGGCUUUGCCUAACAGUUUCAGUAGCCUGAAAGCCCAGCUUUCAAAAGGGCUGACUUAUGGUCCCGAGUUACUCCAGUGGUUUAGAUGUUACCUGUUACCUCCAGCACAACAGUCACAGCUUCAUUGAAAUGAGCAGAUGUUUUUUGUUUGUGUUUACAUUUAUGAGUCAGAUGAAGCUGGGGACAAGAAAUGAAGCUGAAUACACCACUUGAGUUCCCAUUGUUCACCCAUUCACUGGGUGAAGACAAAGUAGACGAAGAGCUUUGCCUCACAGGUUGAUUUUUGGUUCUCAGUACAGUCCCAAGAACAUGAGUCUAUGGUGCAGUCCUUGUAUCCCUGCUGGUCUUAGGGCUUUUGUUUUCCUUUUUCAGAAGAGCCCCUAGAACACUAGGAGCAGAAUGACCCUUUGAAGAAGAGAGGAGCCAGGCUACUGAGACCUCUUCUCUGUCAGCAGAAAUAAGUUCUUGCCCUUUUCUUUUAUAUGGUUCCCAACCACCCCUUUUCUAAGCUUGCAUUUCCUCUAAUAAUGAUAUAAAUAACCAGAGGGAAAAAAAAGACAAAACUUUUACUGCUUACCCUGGAAUCUUUGCUGAGUGCAUUAUAGAUAUGACAAAAGAGCUUAUUCUCAUUAUUUAUUUAAUAUAGCUAUGUGAAAAAAAAAAAGAUAUUCUGACACCAAACUUUAUGCAGAAGAGAUAGCUUAUAAGACAUGUUGUGUUUAUUAAAAAAAUAAUAAAAUGAAGGCAAAACAUCUUUGUAAUUCA
rnacentral:lncRNA from 1 species